GCUUCCAUCCUUGCUGCUCUCAGACCAGCACAGAAUCAGGCCCAGGCUAGCCUGCUGGAGUGAGACACACCAUCACCCCCACCAACCCAGCCAACAGCCAUCAGACCUCCAGACUUGGGCAGGGGGCCACUCUGGACCAACAGGCCCCCAGUGAAACCACCAGCUGACCAAAGAUGCAUGAGCCAGCUUAGCCGAGCCCAACCGAGAUGUACUGAGAAAUAAUUGACAAAUGAAAUUGUAUAUACCUAAAGUAUACAAUGCAAGGAUUUGAUUUCACAUAUACAUUGUGAAAUAUUUACCACCAUCAAGUUAAUUAACACAUUCAUCACCUCACAUCGUUACCUUUUGCAUGUGUGGGGUUAUACAGUUUCAAGUCUUACAUUUAAGUCUUCAAUCCACGUCAAGUUUUUGUGAGUGGUAUAAGAUAGGGGUCCAGGCCCACUCUUGUAUGGGGAUAUCCAGUUUCCCAACACCAUUUACUGAAGAAAGUAUCCUCUCUAUUGUGUACUCUUGACACCCUUGUCAAAGAUUCAUUGAACAUAAACGCACAAGUCUAUUUCUGGGCUCCCAGGAGGCCCUUUUGAGUCUGGACUUGAUUAAAUACCCACAGGAAUCUACUGAAGAAUUUUAAAAGAGUCAAGUUUAAGGCUCCCAGAACAUUAGGUUUGAAGACUACAUGUCCAACUGCCUUUGAUGACCAAUGUCAAGGCCAAAUCCAGAGACAGCAGAAAAAUCACCCAAAGUCACACAACUGAAGGACUCAGGGGAAAAGGCAGACGUCAUACCCAGGCCUCCUGGCCCCCAGCCCAGCCCUGCUUUGUGAAAAGAGCCAUCCCACGACCUCUCCUCCCCUCACCUGUGCCAGCUCCAGGCCCUGGCUGAUGGACAUAAUUGCUUAACAAACUUAAAGUCUUCUACAAA